UAUGAAUCAAAUAUUAUAACCAACAUUAAGUCAAUAAAUUUUACUACUUUUUGAAUUAUAUAAAUUCAGUGAAAUACAUGUAAUAAAAAAGACCAAAGAAAUAAUUCAAAAUUAAAUAAUUCUGAUAAUUAAAAAAUAAAUUUAUAAUUAAAAACUUUCCCACAAAUAAUAUCCAGGCCCAAGUGGUUUCACUGACAAUUUCUAUCAAAAACCUAGGAAAGGUAUUCGAGGAAGGAAGACUUUCAAAUUGACUUUAUAAUCUUAAUAUUAAAUUUUAUAGCUAAACCAGACAAAAACAUCACUAUAAAAGAGAGCUAAACUAAUAGUGCAAAUGAUAUGGCUUCAAAAAUUCUUAAAAGAUGAGCAAAACUUUUUCAAUUAUGUAUACAUAUAUUAUGGCCAAAUGUACUUUUUAUUUCCCCUGGAAAUUAAAUUGGGACUAAUAUCUAAAAUUCAAUAAAUAUCUAUCAUAAUGAUAAUAAAAAACAAUAUGAUCAUAUCAAUAGAUAUAGAAAAUUAUUUGAUUAAAUACAAUACCUUUAUAUUACAUAAACUACCAAUAACUAAGAAUGUAAGUGUGCUUCUAUAGUUUGGUGGGUUUUUAAAAUUUAUCAUGCCAGGAAUUCCAGUCCUAGGUGACUAUCUGAGAGAAGUAAAAAUAAAUACAUGCACACAAAAUUUUUAGUAGCAUUAUUCAUAAAAAUCAGUGAGUAGAAACAACUGAAAUCAACAUGUGAAUAAUUCUAUCAACAUGUGAAUAAUUCUAAAAUGUAGUUUCACCAUACAAUGAAAUACUACUUAACAAAAAGAUAAAUAUAACUAAGAGUACAAUGUGGAUGAACCUAAAAAUAAUAUAUGCUAAGUAAAAGAAUCCAGUCACAAAAUUCCACAUAUUGUAUGACUCCAUUUGUAUUAAUUAUCUGGAAAAGGUAAACCGAGAGAGAGAGAGUAGAUUAGUGAUCUGCUAGCCUAGGAACAAGAAUACUGGUUAAAUGGAAAUUAGCAUAAAGAAUUAUUAUGGAGUAAAGCAAGUGUUCUAAAAGUGGAUUAAGAUGGUUACACAACUCUGCAAAUUUACAAAAUACAUCAUAAAAUUUUACACUUAAAGUGCAUACCUUUAUUAUAUGUGUUAUACCUCAAUAUAGCUAUUUAAAAAUGAAAUAAAUAAAUAAAUGGAACAAUAAGUAGUGAUGUAUGAAAUGAAAGAUUUAAUAAAAUAUUUUAUUAAGAUUAAAAAAUACUCUUCAAAAAUGAAAUUCAGUAAAUCAAAAAGAAACCACAGACUAUGAGAAAAUAUAGGGAACACAUUUAUCUGAUGAAGAACAUGUAUCCAGAAUUACAUAAUAAGCACUUACUACCUAACAAUAAUAAAAGAAACAACUCAAUUAAAAAUUCAUUAGAGAAUUUAAACAGGUAUUCAACACAAGAGAACAUAUAAGUUUUUAGUAAACCCAGGGCAAAUUCUUGAUAUCAGCAGUUAGGAAAAUGUAAAUAAAAUAAAAAUAAGAUGCCACUACAAAUUUACUAGUAACAAAAGUCUUUGUUAAAAAGACUGAUAAUAUCGAGUCCUGGUAAGAAUGUGGAACAAAUGAAACUUACACAUUGAUGUUAGGAAUAUAAAAUUUGACUACUUUGUAAACCUGUAUAUUUAAAAAGUUAAACAUACAUUUACCCCAAGACCCAACAAUUUAAUACCCUUAUUAUUUACUUAGGAGAAUUAAAGUACACAUCUACAUGAAGAUCUGUAAACUUGAAUCUAUAGCAGCAUUAUUUAUACCUCAAAAUAGGAGGGAACCCAAAUAUCCCUCAACAGGUGAAUUUAAAAAAAAAACAGAUUAUAAUAUAUCUGCCCUAUAAAAUAUUACUCAGCAGUGCUAACAUACACAACAACAUAGAUCAAUCUCACAAUAUAAAUUAUGCUAGGAGAAAAAGUUAAAUACAAAAGACUGAAGUUUAUUUAUAUAAAAUUCUGGAAGAUGAAAAAUCUAGUGACAGAAAAUUAUUGGUUGCCUUAAGAUGAAAGUCAGGAGAGAGAAUCCACUGCAAAGGACCGAAGGAAACUUUUUCAGGUAAGAAAUUAAUUUGAUAUCUUACUUGGCUUUACACAAUUACUAAAAUCAAAUUUCAAACUUAACAUUGGUGAAUUGUAUUGUAUAUAGAUAACAUAUCAAAAGUUAUUUGAAAUAAUAAAUCAUUUAUUAUGGCCUAUUAAAAACUAUAUUAUCUAGUCCAUUUCACCCUCCUUAAUCUCAUGUCUUUUCACUCUCUCUCUCUCUCAUUCCCUGUGCAACAGUCACACUGCCCUUCUCAGUCCAUGGAAAGCCCCAAGCUAGUCACACUUAAGGGCCUUUACAAGUGAUGUCUUUUACAUUUGUCACUUAUUAACUGAAGCCUUUGCUAAGAACUAUUUUUUUAUUCUGUACAUUUUGACACAAGUUUAUUUAAUAACCACUUGUGCUAAAUAUGUUUUACUUAGAUUGUCUCUCUCUAGUCUUUUUGACCUUGUUCUGCACCCUUGGAAACCAGCAUUUAUUGACAAUAUUACAUGACUCUCCUGGCUUCUGGCUUGCAAUUUUGCUCUGCCAAUAGAUAAGGGACACUAGCUGGACAUGUGAGGAAUGGCAGAGUAAAUGACUAAUAUGUUAGCUCCCACACUUUUGUUUUUUUACCAACAGCCACAAGUUCUAUUGGGUGGUCCCAUUGGUCUUCAGGUAUAUGUUUAACAAUCAGCUCUCUGAAGGAAAAAAAAAAAAAGCUUGUUUUUAGCAGUUUCUAAAUUCUGUAGUGUAAAUCAUUGCACCAUAGCUAAUAUCACUAAUAUCAAGCUGUCAAUACCAAUUUUAGUAUCAAUAUGACAUCAUAGGCUGUGAUGGUUUGUGGAGUUGGGAAGAGAUGCUGGCAGUCUGCCACAGUGAGCUUUAUGACCAUCUCCAGUACAUCACGGAGUGGCACCUUCAACAACUACACCCAUUCUCUCCGUCACAGCAAACUCCCCAUCUUCGCGCCCCUUCAGGCCUAGGUGGACAAUAUAUUUUCUGAUAGGAUCUUACCUGUUCCAGUAAUUGAUACAAGGAAUGAUGUCAGAAAACAGACUUUCCCUACAGAUUCUGCAAUGGGAUUCUGCACAUGUUCAAGAAAUAAACAGAAAACAUUCCUAUCAGUGGAAAAAAUGGAAAUUGGUAAUCCAUGCUAUGCAUCAGCAUCACAUUCACAUUUUCAUGUGGUGGCUUGGAGGUAUCAACUAAUAUGUAGAUGACAAGCAUGGUAUUGGGGAAUUGUGGCUAUAGCAAUGUAAUAGCAAUUUGAUAACUAUGAAAACAAUACGAUUAUGCAAAUCAUGGCCCCAAAGAGCCUGUCUGUGGAAAAAAUCAUUGAAGCUCCUGAAUGUCCAAACUCAAAACACAAGUGUAAAUCCACAUUCCUUCCAAGGAAGCAAUAUCUUUGAGAACCUUAAUCCUAGCUGAGCUCUGUUGACCAUAUUUGACAAUAGGAGAUACUAUGAAUAAGCUGAGGUCUUAUUCCCCAAGACUGGGUAAUUUAUAAAGGAAAGAGAUUUAAUUGAUGUACAGUUCAGCAUGGCUGUAAGAAAACUCACAAUCAUGGCGGAAGGUGAAGAGGAAGCAAGGCACCUUCUUCACAAGGUGGCAGGAAGAAGUGAGAAGUAAAGGGGGAAGAGCUCCUUAUAAAACCAUCAGAUCUCGUGAGAACUUACUAUCAUGAGAACAGCAUGAGGCAAACCUCCCCCAUGAUUCAAUUACCUACACCUGGUCUCUCCCUUGACACGUGGGGAUUAUGUGGAUUACAGUUCAAGGUGAGAUUUGAGUGGGGACCCAAAGCCUAACUGUAUCAACUAAUGACAGAGAUUAAGUGGUUUGGGAAUUGCAGGAGCCUAGUGACAACAUUUAACCAACAGAUAAGGUGAGUAAAAUGACCAUAAUAAACCUCAUGACAGUAAAAGAAACAAGAGUGACUUAUCCUACAGGGAAGUAAUAUAUCAUAGUUUUUCUAGGAAUGAAAUACAAAGGCAGCCAACUAAGUUGUGAUUUGAUUAUAUAACCUGAAUAAUCAAAAGAUGACAAGCAAUAGAAAAUUGCAAUCUCUUAGACCCUUUUCAUGUAUAAGCCAGUUCUCAGCCCAGAGCUCAAUAGGAGGACUAGGUCACCUAGAAGAAGGACUGUGUAAUGCCAAUGCAAGUAUAUUCAAUGUAUGUUCCAUUGAGAUCCUUUACCAGAAUAAAUGUACACUGGAGAAAUUUGAUUACUCAUAUCUUUCAAGGGUUUUUAGUUCAGGGUCUAAGUUGGCAGUGAUAUUGCUGAUCUGAAACACAAUCAUAGCUCCUUGGCUUGAGAAAAGUGUUAUGGAAUUCAGGCUUGAGAAAGGUGUUAUGGAAUUCAGGCUUGAGAAAGGUGUUAUGGAAUUCAGGCUUGAGAAAGGUAUUAUGGAAUUCAGGUAAUAAAUGGAGUCCAGACCAAGUCACAGUGGCAAUUUCCAUGGAACUCACUUGUAACACUAGGAUGGAUAUACUUAGAAUCUUAUUAGUUCCUGACCUGUUAAGGGUGAGCCAUUGCAGAAUGAAAGACCAGCAGAAAACUCCAGCAUCAUCCCUCUUACCCUCAAGGCCAAGAUAGUCAAUAAAAAAGAGUACUGUACGUCAAGAAGAAUUGCAGGAAUUAUUGACAACUUCAAAGUUUUUGAGGAGUCAGAGGUAAUUGCUUUUAUGAUAUCUCUAUUUAGUUUACCUGUACGGCCCUUUCAAAACAUAGAUGGCCUAUACUGGGUAAUAGAGGAUUAAUAUAAACCUAAAGGAUGAUACCACAUGUGCAACUGCUUUGCUGGAUGUGUUUCUGGAAUAGAAUAUAACUUCUGGUACUUGGAUGUCACUAUUGAUGUAGAGAAUACAUUCUCUUCUAUCUCCAUCAAUAAAAAUGUAUCAGAAGUAAUAUAUUUUUGUAUCACUCUAUUCAUUGACAGUUUUGGACCAGGGGUAUGAAAAUGUCCUUGACUUUAUCUCAUUAUACCAUUCUGAGACCUUGAGUAUAUCUUAUAAUUUUAUGGGGCAUUACACUUGUCACUGUAUUCAUUUCAUUAUGCUAAUUUUACCUGGUCUGAAAUAAGGAGACUGGACACCCUAGUAAAUUACAUGUUUCCCAGAAGUGGUAAAUGAACUCCAGAAAGAUGACAGUCCUGCCACAUCAAUAAGGACUUGCUUCCUAAAACAAAGGAUAGGUUAUUGUUCUUCACAAAUCCUACCACUAAGGUAGAGUCAUAGACAUAGAACUUAGUAUUUUUUUUUUUUUUUUUAACAAUCAGAACUAUGGUUCUAGUGCAGUGCAAACUUCCCUGGACAUUAGCCACCUGGCUGUUAAAUAUAGUGGUGUCAGAAGUAUCCAAGAUGGAUAAAGAUGUUGCAUGUAUUUCAGGGUCAGGCCAUCUGCAGAAGAGAACUAAGCACUCUCGGAAAACCACAUUCUUAUGUGCUACAGAGCCCAGCAGAAAAAGAAACACUGCAUGUGGAACAUCUGUUGACUAUACAGAAAGAGCAGGUAUCCAGGAGUGAGGUCAAACAUAUGCAAUAUACUUUUAUUGCAUAAUUGAAAUGGUGCAUUUGGAUUUGGAAAUUCGCAGGUCUAGAACAAAAAAUAAUUUACGUGAAGAGGUGUAAAUUCCUGAAAAGUGCAACAUUGGGAUAUCUAAUAAGAGCAAGUUUGGGCUUCAGUGAGGAAACAAUAAAAAUUUUGCAGAAGAAGCACAUGAAUAGAUCAUGAGAGUGGGCAAACAGCGUAAGAAACUGUGUCUCACGUUGAUAUCUACCUAAAAGUAUCCAAUACAGAGGAAGCACUUAAAAAUAAGAGAAAUAAGUGGAAUCCUUGUAAGGAUAUAAAACACAAUUUGUCUCAGCCACUCAGCCGUCCAACUUGAACAAUGAGCCCAUUAAGAGAACAGGACGAAAACAAGGUUUUCCUUUCUUUGUCAGAUCUCACUACUGCCAUUGCUGAUAGUCCAGCCUGCCAACAUCAGAGACAAACAUAGAGCACUCAAUAGAGUAGCGUCAACUAAUGGGACAUGUCAAUCACUUAGCAAUAUAUUGAUUAUAUCAGACUUGUCCAAACAGUAGUCCAUUCUUAUUGGAAUAGGUGUUUCUCUAAGAUUUGGGUUUGCCUUUCUAGCCCCUGUGCCUUUGCUAGUACCAUCAUCCAGGGGUUUAUAUAAUGCCACGUUUACACCUUGGCACACAAUAUAAUAUUUACUUAAUCAAAGUAACCAUUUUCUUAUGGUGAGUACAAGUAUUCUUUUUAUUAUGAUUAUGAUUAUUUAAACUAUGAAUAUACACCUUAUACUGGUCUUUGUAUGUGUAAUACAUAUUUGUAUAUGUAUAAUAUACAAAUAUAUAAUAUAUCUUUGUGUUUGUAUAAUAUGGAUUAUUAUAUUUGUAUAUGUAUAAUAUAUGAAUAUAUAAUAUAUAUUUAUAUUUUUAUAUGUAUAAUAUGGAUUGACAAUAUGUUUUAAUCGUCAAUAUGAAUAAAAUAAUAAAGAUGAAUAAAAUAAUAAUAAACCAAAUAUAUAUGUAGGGUUAUG
rnacentral:lncRNA from 10 species